UGAUUUAAGAGCUUGCUCUUAUGAUUAGUGGCGCACGGGUGAGUAAUAUAUAGGUAAUGUACCUCUUAGUCUGGGAUAGCCACUGGAAACGGUGAUUAAUACCGGAUACUCCUUCUAACUUCAAGGUUAGCGGUAAAGUUUUCGCUAAGAGAUCGGCCUAUAUCCUAUCAGCUAGUUGGUGAGGUAAUGGCUCACCAAGGCAAUGACAGGUAGCGGGUUUGAGAGGAUGAUCCGCCGCACUGGUACUGAGACACGGACCAGACUCC
rnacentral:rRNA from 1 species